UACGUAGGGUCCGAGCGUUGUCCGGAGUUACUGGGCGUAAAGCGCGCGCAGGCGGCGGCGUGGGCCCGGCGUGAAAUCCCCCGGCUCAACCCGGGAGGGGCGUCGGGGACCGCGCCUCUUGAGGGCGGGAGGGGUCGGUGGAAUGCCGGGUGUAGUGGUGAAAUGCGUAGAGAUCAGGCGGAACACCCGUGGCGAAGGCGGCUGGCUGGGCCGCUCCUGACGCUGAGGUGCGAAGGCGUGGGGAGCGAACGGG
rnacentral:rRNA from 1 species